rnacentral:rRNA from 1 species
AAGGUAGCGAAAUUCCUUGUCGGGUAAGUUCCGACCUGCACGAAUGGCGUAAUGAUGGCCACGCUGUCUCCACCCGAGACUCAGUGAAAUUGAAAUCGCAGUGAAGAUGCUGUGUACCCGCGGCUAGACGGAAAGACCCCGUGAACCUUUACUACAGCUUGGCACUGAACAUUGAGCCUACAUGUGUAGGAUAGGUGGGAGGCUUUGAAACGGCGACGCCAGUUGUCGUGGAGCCAUCCUUGAAAUACCACCCUUGUAUGUUUGAUGUUCUAACUUAGCCCCCUAAUCGGGGGUGAGGACAGUGCCUGGUGGGUAGUUUGACUGGGGCGGUCUCCUCC